CGAAGGGGAGGCUAGCGUUGUUCGGAAUUACUGGGCGUAAAGCGCACGUAGGCGGAUAUUUAAGUCAGUGGUGAAAGCCCGGAGCUCAACUCCGGAACUGCCAUUGAAACUGUUUAGCUUGAGGACGAGAGAGGUGAGUGGAAUUCCCAGUGUAGAGGUGAAAUUCGUAGAUAUUGGGAAGAACACCGGUGGCGAAGGCGGCUCACUGGCUCGUAUCUGACGCUCAGGCGCGACAGCGUGGGGAUCAAACAGG
rnacentral:rRNA from 1 species